UUGUCAUAAGUGGGGCAUUCUGGAAGGUUCACAUGUCAGUUGUCAUAAGUGGGGCAUUCUGGAAGGUUCACAUGUCAGUUGUCAUAAGUGGAGCAUUCUGGAAGGUUCACAUGUCAGUUGUCAUAAGUGGGGCAUUCUGGAAGGUUCACAUGUCAGUUGUCAUAAGUGGAGCAUUCUGGAAGGUUCACAUGUCAGUUGUCAUAAGUGGGGCAUUCUGGAAGGUUCACAUGUCAGUUGUCAUAAGUGGAGCAUUCUGGAAGGUUCACAUGUCAGUUGUCAUAAGUGGGGCAUUCUGGAAGGUUCACAUGUCAGUUGUCAUAAGUGGGGCAUUCUGGAAGAUUCACAUGUCAGUUGUCAUAAGUGGGGCAUUCUGGAAGGUUCACAUGUCAGUUGUCAUAAGUGGGGCAUUCUGGAAGGUUCACAUGUCAGUUGUCAUAAGUGGAGCAUUCUGGAAGGUUCACAUGUCAGUUGUCAUAAGUGGGCCAUUCUGGAAGAUUCACAUGUCAGUUGUCAUAAGUGGGGCAUUCUGGAAGGUUCACAUGUCAGUUGUCAUAAGUGGGGCAUUCUGGAAGGUUCACAUGUCAGUUGUCAUAAGUGGAGCAUUCUGGAAGGUUCACAUGUCAGUUGUCAUAAGUGGGCCAUUCUGGAAGAUUCACAUGUCAG